GCUCAGUUGGUUAAGUGUCUAACUCUUGAUCUCAGCUCAGGUCUCAGUCUUGGAACGUGAGUUCAAGCCCCACAUUGGGCU
rnacentral:tRNA from 1 species